rnacentral:rRNA from 2 species
GAAUGCUGGCGGCAUGCCUAAUACAUGCAAGUCGAACGAACCAUCCUGAUGAUUGAAGCUUGCUUCAUGAUUCAGAUCUUGGUGAGUGGCGGACGGGUGAGUAACACGUGGGUAACCUGCCCAGAAGUGGGGGAUAACAUUUGGAAACAAGUGCUAAUACCGCAUAACAACUUAGAUCACAUGAUCUUUGUUUAAAAGAUGGUUUUGCUAUCUCUUCUGGAUGGACCCGCGGCGUAUUAGCUAGUUGGUGAGGUAAUAGCUCACCAAGGCGAUGAUACGUAGCCGACCUGAGAGGGUAAUCGGCCACAUUGGGACUGAGACACGGCCCAAACUCCUACGGGAGGCAGCAGUAGGGAAUCUUCCACAAUGGACGAAAGUCUGAUGGAGCAAUGCCGCGUGAGUGAAGAAGGUUUUCGGAUCGUAAAACUCUGUUGUUGAAGAAGAAUAUAUGUGAGAGUAACUGUUCACGUACUGACGGUAUUCAACCAGAAAGCCACGGCUAACUACGUGCCAGCAGCCGCGGUAAUACGUAGGUGGCAAGCGUUGUCCGGAUUUAUUGGGCGUAAAGAGAAUGUAGGCGGUUUAUUAAGUUUGAAGUGAAAGCCCUCGGCUCAACCGAGGAAGUGCUUCGAAAACUGGUAAACUUGAGUGCAGAAGAGGAAAGUGGAACUCCAUGUGUAGCGGUGGAAUGCGUAGAUAUAUGGAAGAACACCAGUGGCGAAGGCGGCUUUCUGGUCUGUAACUGACGCUGAGAUUCGAAAGCAUGGGUAGCAAACAGGAUUAGAUACCCUGGUAGUCCAUGCCGUAAACGAUGAGUGCUAAGUGUUGGAGGGUUUCCGCCCUUCAGUGCUGCAGCUAACGCAUUAAGCACUCCGCCUGGGGAGUACGAUCGCAAGAUUGAAACUCAAAGGAAUUGACGGGGGCCCGCACAAGCGGUGGAGCAUGUGGUUUAAUUCGAAGCAACGCGAAGAACCUUACCAGGUCUUGACAUACCAUGAAAAGCUUAGAGAUAAGUCUUUCCCUUCGGGGACAUGGAUACAGGUGGUGCAUGGUUGUCGUCAGCUCGUGUCGUGAGAUGUUGGGUUAAGUCCCGCAACGAGCGCAACCCUUAUUAUCAGUUGCCAGCAUUCAGUUGGGCACUCUGGUGAGACUGCCGGUGAUAAACCGGAGGAAGGUGGGGACGACGUCAAAUCAUCAUGCCCCUUAUGACCUGGGCUACACACGUGCUACAAUGGUCGGUACAACGUGCUGCGAACUCGCGAGGGCAAGCAAAUCACUUAAAACCGAUCUCAGUUCGGAUUGUAGGCUGCAACUCGCCUACAUGAAGCUGGAAUCGCUAGUAAUCGCGGAUCAGCAUGCCGCGGUGAAUACGUUCCCGGGCCUUGUACACACCGCCCGUCACACCAUGAGAGUUUGUAACACCCAAAGUCGGUGGGGUAACCCUUCGGGGAACUAGCCGCCUAAGGUGGG